GACGAACGCUGGCGGCGUGCCUAAUACAUGCAAGUCGAGCGAAGUUUUUCUGGUGCUUGCACUAGAAAAACUUAGCGGCGAACGGGUGAGUAACACGUAAAGAACCUGCCUCAUAGACUGGGACAACUAUUGGAAACGAUAGCUAAUACCGGAUAACAGUAUUUCUCGCAUGAGAGAUAUUUAAAAGUUGGUUAUGCUAACACUAUGAGAUGGCUUUGCGGUGCAUUAGCUAGUUGGUGGGGUAAAGGCCCACCAAGGCGACGAUGCAUAGCCGACCUGAGAGGGUGAUCGGCCACACUGGGACUGAGACACGGCCCAGACUCCUACGGGAGGCAGCAGUAGGGAAUCUUCCGCAAUGGGCGAAAGCCUGACGGAGCAACGCCGCGUGAGUGAAGAAGGAUUUCGGUUCGUAAAGCUCUGUUGUUAGGGAAGAAUGGAUAUGUAGUAACU
rnacentral:rRNA from 1 species